GAUGAAGAACGCAGCGAAAUGCGAUAAGUAAUGCGAAUUGCAGAAUCCGUGAGUCAUCGAAUCUUUGAACGCACACUGCGCCCUCUGGUAUUCCGGAGGGCAUGCCUGUUCGAGCGUCAUUAUCACCCCUCAAGCCCGGCUUGUUGUUGGAUGCAGCGCUUAUCCCGCUCCUCCCAAAGAUAAUGACGGCGUCUGCGACGACUCCUGUACACUGAGCUUUCGGGCACGUACACGGCUAGAAGUCCAGACCCGGUCGCCGUCCCCCCCGCGGGGACACCCAUUACCACAAGGUUGACCUCGGAUCAGGUAGGAAUACCCGCUGAACUUAAGCAUAUCAAUAAGCGGAGGA
rnacentral:misc_RNA from 1 species